rnacentral:rRNA from 1 species
GACGAACGCUGGCGGCGUGCUUAACACAUGCAAGUCGAACGGAAAGGCCCUGCUUUUGUUGGGUGCUCGAGUGGCGAACGGGUGAGUAACACGUGAGUAACCUGCCCUUGACUUUGGGAUAACUUCAGGAAACUGGGGCUAAUACCGGAUAGGAGCUCCUGCUGCAUGGUGGGGGUUGGAAAGUUUCGGCGUUUGGGGAUGGACUCGCGGCUUAUCAGCUUGUUGGGGGGGUAGUGGCUUACCAAGGCUUUGACGGGUAGCCGGCCUGAGAGGGUUACCGGCCACAUUGGGACUGAGAUACGGCGCAGACUCCUACGGGAGGCAGCAGUGGGGAAUAUUGCACAAUGGGCGGAAGCCUGAUGCAGCAACGCCGCGUGCGGGAUGACGGCCUUCGGGUUGUAAACCGCUUUCGCCUGUGACGAAGAGUGAGUGACGGUAAUGGGUAAAGAAGCACCGGCUAACUACGUG